rnacentral:tRNA from 1 species
CUGGGGUUGGGGCUCAGUGGUAGAGUGCUUGUCUAGCAUGUGUGAGGCACUGCGUUUGAUUCUCAGUACUGCAUA